rnacentral:rRNA from 1 species
AGACCCGAAACCCGGUGAUCUAGCCAUGGGCAGGUUGAAGGUUGGGUAACACUAACUGGAGGACCGAACCGACUAAUGUUGAAAAAUUAGCGGAUGACUUGUGGCUGGGGGUGAAAGGCCAAUCAAACCGGGAGAUAGCUGGUUCUCCCCGAAAGCUAUUUAGGUAGCGCCUCGUGAAUUCAUCUCCGGGGGUAGAGCACUGUUUCGGCAAGGGGGUCAUCCCGACUUACCAACCCGAUGCAAACUGCGAAUACCGGAGAAUGUUAUCACGGGAGACACACGGCGGGUGCUAACGUCCGUCGUGAAGAGGGAAACAACCCAGACCGCCAGCUAAGGUCCCAAAGUCAUGGUUAAGUGGGAAACGAUGUGGGAAGGCCCAGACAGCCAGGAUGUUGGCUUAGAAGCAGCCAUCAUUUAAAGAAAGCGUAAUAGCUCACUGGUCGAGUCGGCCUGCGCGGAAGAUGUAACGGGGCUAAACCAUGCACCGAAGCUGCGGCAGCGACACUGUGUGUUGUUGGGUAGGGGAGCGUUCUGUAAGCCUGUGAAGGUGUGCUGUGAGGCAUGCUGGAGGUAUCAGAAGUGCGAAUGCUGACAUAAGUAACGAUAAAGCGGGUGAAAAGCCCGCUCGCCGGAAGACCAAGGGUUCCUGUCCAACGUUAAUCGGGGCAGGGUGAGUCGACCCCUAAGGCGAGGCCGAAAGGCGUAGUCGAUGGGAAACAGGUUAAUAUUCCUGUACUUGGUGUUACUGCGAAGGGGGGACGGAGAAGGCUAUGUUGGCCGGGCGACGGUUGUCCCGGUUUAAGCGUGUAGGCUGGUUUUCCAGGCAAAUCCGGAAAAUCAAGGCUGAGGCGUGAUGACGAGGCACUACGGUGCUGAAGCAACAAAUGCCCUGCUUCCAGGAAAAGCCUCUAAGCAUCAGGUAACAUCAAAUCGUACCCCAAACCGACACAGGUGGUCAGGUAGAGAAUACCAAGGCGCUUGAGAGAACUCGGGUGAAGGAACUAGGCAAAAUGGUGCCGUAACUUCGGGAGAAGGCACGCUGAUAUGUAGGUGAAGUCCCUCGCGGAUGGAGCUGAAAUCAGUCGAAGAUACCAGCUGGCUGCAACUGUUUAUUAAAAACACAGCACUGUGCAAACACGAAAGUGGACGUAUACGGUGUGACGCCUGCCCGGUGCCGGAAGGUUAAUUGAUGGGGUCAGCGCAAGCGAAGCUCUUGAUCGAAGCCCCGGUAAACGGCGGCCGUAACUAUAACGGUCCUAAGGUAGCGAAAUUCCUUGUCGGGUAAGUUCCGACCUGCACGAAUGGCGUAAUGAUGGCCAGGCUGUCUCCACCCGAGACUCAGUGAAAUUGAACUCGCUGUGAAGAUGCAGUGUACCCGCGGCAAGACGGAAAGACCCCGUGAACCUUUACUAUAGCUUGACACUGAACAUUGAGCCUUGAUGUGUAGGAUAGGUGGGAGGCUUUGAAGUGUGGACGCCAGUCUGCAUGGAGCCGACCUUGAAAUACCACCCUUUAAUGUUUGAUGUUCUAACGUGGACCCGUGAUCCGGGUUGCGGACAGUGUCUGGUGGGUAGUUUGACUGGGGCGGUCUCCUCCUAAAGAGUAACGGAGGAGCACGAAGGUUGGCUAAUCCUGGUCGGACAUCAGGAGGUUAGUGCAAUGGCAUAAGCCAGCUUGACUGCGAGCGUGACGGCGCGAGCAGGUGCGAAAGCAGGUCAUAGUGAUCCGGUGGUUCUGAAUGGAAGGGCCAUCGCUCAACGGAUAAAAGGUACUCCGGGGAUAACAGGCUGAUACCGCCCAAGAGUUCAUAUCGACGGCGGUGUUUGGCACCUCGAUGUCGGCUCAUCACAUCCUGGGGCUGAAGUAGGUCCCAAGGGUAUGGCUGUUCGCCAUUUAAAGUGGUACGCGAGCUGGGUUUAGAACGUCGUGAGACAGUUCGGUCCCUA